rnacentral:rRNA from 1 species
UACGAUGGGGGCUAGCGUUGUUCGGAAUUAUUGGGCGUAAAGCGCGUGUAGGCGGCCGUGCAAGUCGGGUGUGAAAGCCCUCGGCUCAACCGAGGAAGUGCGCCCGAAACUGCAUGGCUUGAGUACCGGAGAGGAUGGCGGAAUUCCCCAAGUAGAGGUGAAAUUCGUAGAUAUUCGGAAGAACACCAGUGGCGAAGGCGGCUCACUGGCCCGGUACUGACGCUGAGGUGCGAAAGCGUGGGGAGCAAACGGG